rnacentral:rRNA from 1 species
ACGGCUCAGUAACACGUGGAUAACCUGCCCUUGGGUCCGGCAUAACCCCGGGAAACUGGGGAUAAUUCCGGAUAACGCAUAUAUGCUGGAAUGCUUUAUGCGUAAAAUGGAUUCGUCUGCCCAAGGAUGGGUCUGCGGCCUAUCAGGUAGUAGUGGGUGUAAUGUACCUACUAGCCGACAACGGGUACGGGUUGUGAGAGCAAGAGCCCGGAGAUGGAUUCUGAGACAUGAAUCCAGGCCCUACGGGGCGCAGCAGGCGCGAAAACUUUACAAUGCGGGAAACCGUGAUAAGGGGACACCGAGUGCCAGCAUCAUAUGCUGGCUGUCCAAGUGUGUAAACUACACCUGUUAGCAAGGGCCGGGCAAGACCGGUGCCAGCCGCCGCGGUAACACCGGCGGCCCGAGUGGUGAUCGUGAUUAUUGGGUCUAAAGGGUCCGUAGCCGGUUUGGUCAGUCCUCCGGGAAAUCUGACGGCUCAACCGUUAGGCUUUCGGGGGAUACUGUCAGGCUUGGAACCGGGAGAGGUAAGAGGUACUACAGGGGUAGGAGUGAAAUCUUGUAAUCCCUGUGGGACCACCUGUGGCGAAGGCGUCUUACCAGAACGGGUUCGACGGUGAGGGACGAAAGCUGGGGGCACGAACCGGAUUAGACACCCGGGUAGUCCCAGCCGUAAACGAUGCUCGCUAGGUGUCAGGCAUGGCGCGACCGUGUCUGGUGCCGCAGGGAAGCCGUGAAGCGAGCCACCUGGGAAGUACGGCCGCAAGGCUGAAACUUAAAGGAAUUGGCGGGGGAGCAC